rnacentral:rRNA from 1 species
GCGAAGAACCUUACCUGGGUUUGAAGAAGUUGAGGGGGCGAAACCUUCCGCAAGGGACAGCUGGUUAGGUGCUGCAUGGCUGGAGCGUGGUGAGAUGUUGGGUUAAGCCGCAACGAGCGCAACCCCUGCUGCUAGUUGCCAACGGUGGCCGGGCACUAGUGGGACUGCCGGUGAUAAACCGGAGGAAGGUGGGGAUGACGAAGCAUGGUUUAUGCAGGGCGACACACGUGCUACAAUGGCCGGUACAAACCGGCUAAAGCGCAAGCUGGAGCCAAGGAAAAAGCCGGAGUGGAUUGGGGUGCAACGACCCCAUGAAGCUGGAAGCUAGUAAGCGGAAGCACGCCGCGGUGAAUACGUCCGGGUUGUACACACCG